rnacentral:rRNA from 1 species
GACGAACGCUGGCGGCGUGCCUAAUACAUGCAAGUCGAACGCAGUGGGGACGGGUGAGUAACACGUGGGUAACCUCCCAUCAGAGGGGCUCACACUUGGAAACAGGUGCUAAACCGAUACUGAUGGAUGGACCCGGGGUGCAUUAGCUAGUUGGUGAGGUAACGGCUCACCAAGGCCACGAUGCAUAGCCGACCUGAGAGGGUGAUAGGCCAAACUGGGACUGCGACACGGCUCAGAUUCCUACGGGAGGCAGCAGGAGGGAAUCUUCGGCAAUGGACGGAAGUCUGACCGAGCAACGCCGCGUGAGUGAAGAAGGUUUUCGGAGCGUAAAUCUCUGUUGUUAGAGAAGCGGUAUCUAACCAGAAAGCCACGGCUAACUACGUGCCAGCCGCCGCGGUAAUUC